rnacentral:rRNA from 1 species
AUUGAACGCUGGCGGCAUGCCUUACACAUGCAAGUCGAACGGCAGCACGGGGCAACCUGGUGGCGAGUGGCGAACGGGUGAGUAAUGCAUCGGAACGUACCUUUCAGUGGGGGAUAACGUAGCGAAAGUUACGCUAAUACCGCAUAUUCUGUGAGCAGGAAAGCAGGGGAUCGCAAGACCUUGCGCUGAUUGAGCGGCCGAUGUCGGAUUAGCUAGUUGGUGAGGUAAAGGCUCACCAAGGCGACGAUUUGUAGCGGGUCUGAGAGGAUGAUCCGCCACACUGGAACUGAGACACGGUCCAGACUCCUACGGGAGGCAGCAGUGGGGAAUUUUGGACAAUGGGGGCAACCCUGAUCCAGCCAUGCCGCGUGAGUGAAGAAGGCCUUCGGGUUGUAAAGCUCUUUCGGCCGGGAAGAAAUCGCACGGGCUAAUACCCUGUGUGGAUGACGGUACCGGAAUAAGAAGCACCGGCUAACUACGUGCCAGCAGCCGCCGUAAAAC